CGUGAGCUGGGUUCAGAACGUCGUGAGACAGUUCGGUCCCUAUCUAUUGUGGGCGCAGGAACUUUGAGGAAUUCCCUUCCUAGUACGAGAGGACCGGAAGAGGCGAACCUCUGGUGUGCCAGCUAUUCCGCCAGGAGUAGCGCUGGGUAUCCAUGUUCGGAAAGGAUAAGCGCUGAAAGCAUAUAAGCGCCAAGCCUUCUCCAAGAUAAGAGUUCCCAACCAUUUUUUGGUUUCGAAGACCCCUCGUAGACUACGAGGUUGAUAGGCAGGGAGUGUAAGGGCUGUAAGGCCUUCAGCUGACCUGUACUAAUCGGUCGUUCGGCUUGACUAU
rnacentral:rRNA from 1 species